rnacentral:lncRNA from 1 species
CAACAAUGAGAGAUGAGACUUGGGGGAUCAAAAGCAGCCCCAGCUCAAAAGCCUUGGAGUUGAUGGAAGCUGUCUGUUUUUCACUGAGAGAAAACAACUGGAGAAGUUUCUGGAAAUUGAGACCGUGAUCCCAAUACUGAGCUACAAUCUGUUAUCUGAAUUACAGAUGCAGAGAAUUCAAAAACCAGACCGUUUUAAAAUCAGAUGCCAAAUGUGACCCCAGGGAAAGUUGCCACCAUCUCUAGAACUGAAGGCUGUGCUUCUGUGGACGCCUGGAGGAGCAACCUUCCCUGGUAACUAAUGACGAAGCAGAAUUUAGCCUCUUGAUUGGACAGUGGAGUCUGCACUUCUUCAGAUAGGGAAAUUCUAACAAGCUAAUGGAAAAUUAAGCAGAUGGAAACCUGCUGUCUCUGGAAAGAAAGUCUUGGGAGAUCACGAGCCACUGGAAGACUGGAAUUCUCUGUACUGAGUGGGAAUAGGGACUCUCUGUCUGUGCUUUGAUUCUGCACGGCUAUGACCACGGUCAGA